rnacentral:rRNA from 1 species
UACGAAGGUGGCAAGCGUUGUUCGGAUUUACUGGGCGUACAGGGAGCGUAGGCGGUUGGAUAAGCCCUCCGUGAAAUCUCCAGGCUUAACCUGGAAAGUGCAGAGGGGACUGUUCAGCUAGAGGAUGGGAGAGGAGCGCGGAAUUCCCGGUGUAGCGGGGAAAUGCGUAGAUAUCGAGAGGAACACCUGCGGCGAAGGCGGGUAGCUGGGCCGACACUGACGCUGAGGCGCGAAAGCCAGGGGAGCGAACGGG